AAUAGAUACCCAGGUAGUCCAUGCCGUAAACGUUGGGCACUAGGUGUGGGACCCUCUCAACGGGUUCCGCGCCGUAGCUAACGCAUUAAGUGCCCCGCCUGGGGAGUACGGCCGCAAGGCUAAAACUCAAAGGAAUUGACGGGGGCCCGCACAAGCAGCGGAGCAUGUUGCUUAAUUCGAGGCAACGCGAAGAACCUUACCUGGGUUUGACAUGUACGGAAAAGCCGCAGAGAUGCGGUGUCCUUUUGGGCCGUACACAGGUGGUGCAUGGUUGUCGUCAGCUCGUGUCGUGAGAUGUUGGGUUAAGUCCCGCAACGAGCGCAACCCUUGUCCUAUGUUGCCAGCGGGUAGUGCCGGGGACUCGUAGGAGACUGCCGGUGACAAACCGGAGGAAGGUGGGGAUGACGUCAAAUCAUCAUGCCCCUUAUGUCCAGGGCUGCGAACAUGCUACAAUGGCUAGUACAAAGGGCUGCUACACCGCGAGGUUGAGCGAAUCCCACAAAGCUGGUCUCAGUUCGGAUCGGAGU
rnacentral:rRNA from 1 species